rnacentral:lncRNA from 1 species
AGACUCAACCCUAGGCUCUGAUGCCAAAAUAUUCUAUCACGCCCCGGGACCCAGCGGAAGCCCGCCCGGUGCGUGUCCAGACCCGCACUAUGCCUACACAUAUAAGGCGUCUAGAGCAAUAGUAUACGAAAGCAAGGAAACAAAACAUCUAGAGAUAUCAGAGCAAAAAUAAAGCUAGAAUCUAACCACGAGAAAUAAGUAACUAGACUGGAAGAUCAACAUUCCCGAAGUUAAAUAAAUACAUCAAGAACCAUAAAUAGCACUAGAAACAUAAGGUGGUAGUCUCUACAAAAGGGGGGUAUCAAACUCUCAUUCUCUCCAACCAAAAUAAAGGGAGAAAAUUGAAAGUUUUGAGGAGCCCAAGGAUCUAUCUAGAUUGUAUCUAUCACCUAGAGGGGGGGGGUGAAUAGGUGUAACGGCCAAAAACCACAAAUCUCGAUGUAAUAAAAAUAAAUGCGGAAAAUAAAAAGCACACCGAGAUUUACGUGGGAAAACUCCAAUUUGGAGAAAAACCCACGGGACCAACACGCGAAAAAACAAUCCACUAAGAGAAAAGAUUACAAGGUGAUUUACCGACUCUACGGACUCAACCUCUCUUAACCUCCUAUGGAUCUCGCGCAAUCCUCCGGGUUGUCCACGCCCUCACGUCCGAAUCCACGAACGCCCCCACUUCGAAUCUACGAAGCUUCAAUCACGCCGAAUCCACGACGCUACUCGAAUCCACGAGCCCACGAUCCGA